GAUGAACGCUGGCGGCGUGCCUAAUACAUGCAAGUCGAGCGAACAGACGAGGAGCUUGCUCCUCUGACGUUAGCGGCGGACGGGUGAGUAACACGUGGAUAACCUACCUAUAAGACUGGGAUAACCUCGGGAAACCGGAGCUAAUACCGGAUAAUAUAUUGAACCGCAUGGUUCAAUAGUGAAAGACGGUUUUGCUGUCACUUAUAGAUGGAUCCGCGCCGCAUUAGCUAGUUGGUAAGGUAACGGCUUACCAAGGCAACGAUGCGUAGCCGACCUGAGAGGGUGAUCGGCCACACUGGAACUGAGACACGGUCCAGACUCCUACGGGAGGCAGCAGUAGGGAAUCUUCCGCAAUGGGCGAAAGCUUGACGGAGCAACGCCGCGUGAGUGAUGAAGGUCUUCGGAUCGUAAAACUCUGUUAUUAGGGAAGAACAAAUGUGUAAGUAACUAUGCACGUCUUGACGGUACCUAAUCGGAAAGCCACGGCUAACUACGUG
rnacentral:rRNA from 1 species